CCUAAAGGCACAGGGAACCUUGUGAAAAUUAUACUGGUUGACAAUUUGUAUUCUUCUGCACAAAGGCUGUGCAUGGGACACUCUUAGAUUUUCCAACUUCACAAUGACCCUAGGCACAAGACCAAGUUGACCCUGUAGUGGUUACAGCAGAAAAAGGUAAAGGUCCUAGACUGGCCAUCACAUCACAGUCUCCUGACCUUAAUAUCAUCGAGCAACUCGGGGGAGAUCUUAAAUGUGCUGAUGACCAAAGACUUUGCAUGACCUGGAGGCAUGUUGCCAAGACGAAUGGGCAGCUAUACCUUCAAAAAAUUAGGGGCCUCAUAGACCACUAUUACAAAAGACUGCAUGCUGUCAUUGAUUUGUCAUUGUUCUGUAUUAAGAACUAAGGGUAUGCA